CAGAGGGAGACACAGAAUAAAGCAGGCUCCAGGCUCUAAGCUGUCAGCACAGAGACUGAUGCAGGCCUGAACUCAGGAGCCUUCAUUUGAGCUGUGAGAUCAUGACCUGGGCCAAAGCCAGCCACCUAACUGACUGAACCACCCAGGUGCCCCAUGAAGUCUCAGAAUUUCUAAAGUUUGAUGUUAUAAAUGCUACCAGUAUUAAAACAGUAAGAUAUUACAAUUUCAUUACAAUAAGUUAUAAAUAUUAAUGUGAAAUGAAAAAAUUGCAAAAAAAAAUGUAACUUACCAAAACUUACUAAAGGUCUCACAACUUAUACAUGUGGGAAGUUUGGGAAAGACUAUGGAGUGAGUUCAGUCUUCAGGGAACUCGAAGGAGGAGAAGCAAGAAGAUAGAGGAGAGAGAAGCUGGGGGGAAGCAGGAAGGGGAAACCUUAAUUAACAAAAUAGAUGGACUAGAGAUUAAUGCAGAAAUGGUUGUUGGGAGCCAAGCCUCUACCAUCGUAACCAUGGAUGUUUGGGGUUAAAGGAAGGAGAUAACAAAAACAAGAGCAAAAAUUAAUGAAACUGAGAACAACACAAUAGAAAGGAUCAAAAGUCAAGAUGGGUGAGGCCACAUGACUAAGGUCUUUCCAAAGGAAUGCAAGCAGUAUUGUGUGUUCCUUCCAUACCAGGCUUGCAAGAAACUCCUAUGCAUGCUCCUCCUGUUCUUUCUUCAUUCUCAGGACUUUAGAGGAUGUGUGGAGCCUGGAUAAUCACUGACCUGAAAACCCAUUCUCGACUGUUAAAUUCAAUUAAAUUUAAACUAUUAA